rnacentral:rRNA from 1 species
UACGAAGGGGGCUAGCGUUGUUCGGAAUUACUGGGCGUAAAGCGCACGUAGGCGGACUCUUAAGUCGGUGGUGAAAUCCUGGAGCUCAACUCCAGAACUGCCUUCGAUACUGAGAGUCUCGAGUCCGAGAGAGGUGAGUGGAACUGCGAGUGUAGAGGUGAAAUUCGUAGAUAUUCGCAAGAACACCAGUGGCGAAGGCGGCUCACUGGCCCAUAACUGACGCUGAGGCACGAAAGCGUGGGGAGCAAACAGG